rnacentral:rRNA from 1 species
CCUACGGGUGGCAGCAGUGGGGAAUAUUGGACAAUGGGCGAAAGCCUGAUCCAGCCAUGCCGCGUGUGUGAAGAAGGCCUUCGGGUUGUAAAGCACUUUCAGUGGGGAAGAAAGCCUUGGGGCUAAUACCCUCGAGGAAGGACAUCACCCACAGAAGAAGCACCGGCUAACUCCGUGCCAGCAGCCGCGGUAAUACGGAGGGUGCGAGCGUUAAUCGGAAUUACUGGGCGUAAAGCGCGCGUAGGCGGUCUGAUAAGCCGGUUGUGAAAGCCCCGGGCUCAACCUGGGAACGGCAUCCGGAACUGUCAGGCUAGAGUGCAGGAGAGGAAGGUAGAAUUCCCGGUGUAGCGGUGAAAUGCGUAGAGAUCUGGAGGAAUACCAGUGGCGAAGGCGGCCUUCUGGACUGACACUGACGCUGAGGUGCGAAAGCGUGGGUAGCAAACAGGAUUAGAUACCCGGGUAGUC